rnacentral:sRNA from 13 species
GGCGAUUCCGUUUUCGAAGAUGUAAAUUCCGCCCUUGGGUUUGUAAUGAUUUUGACAGUGCUCAAGAAGGAAACGAAUCCCAUACGGAGUUAUGGGCCAACCCAUAUCAGUCAAC